GGAAAUAACUUGCUGUUCAGUGAUGCCGCGCGCCUUGGCCUGUUCGGGGAUUUGUUUUUCGACCAGCGGCGUCAUGACGUAGCCGGGGCAGACGGCAUUCACGGUAAUGCCGUGCUCCGCAACCUCGAGUGCAACCGUCUUGGUAAGACCGGCAAUGCCGUGCUUGGCGGAGACGUAAGCCGACUUGAACGGCGAAGCCACCAGCGCAUGUGCAGAUGCAAUGUUGACGAUCCGGCCCCACGACUGCUUCUUCA
rnacentral:misc_RNA from 1 species